GGUCCAGACUCCUACGGGAGGCAGCAGUGGGGAAUAUUGCACAAUGGGGGAAGCCCUGAUGCAGCGACGCCGCGUGAGCGAUGAAGUAUUUCGGUAUGUAAAGCUCUAUCAGCAGGGAAGAAAAUGACGGUACCUGACUAAGAAGCCCCGGCUAACUACGUGCCAGCAGCCGCGGUAAUACGUAGGGGGCAAGCGUUAUCCGGAUUUACUGGGUGUAAAGGGAGCGUAGACGGCGAUGCAAGUCUGAAGUGAAAGGCGGGGGCCCAACCCCCGGACUGCUUUGGAAACUGUAUGGCUGGAGUGCAGGAGAGGUAAGUGGAAUUCCUAGUGUAGCGGUGAAAUGCGUAGAUAUUAGGAGGAACACCAGUGGCGAAGGCGGCCUGCUGGACGAUGACUGACGUUGAGGCUCGAAAGCGUGGGGAGCAAACAGGAUUAGAUACCCCCGUA
rnacentral:rRNA from 1 species